AUUGUAGUUUAUUUUUAUUUUUUUUCCAUUUGCUUAGCUUUAUGUUCUCAAUUUUCUACAGUCUUCUACUUUGUAAGAGACCGAAUCCAGUCUUGUCUGUUUGCCUGUAGAGUCUGUUGGUUUUGUAUUGCAACACAGAAUGGCAAGUUGAGUUAGGACUCUGCCUGAACAGGCCUGCCCACAGACCAGCCAGUUGGUUCUAGAAUCUGAAGACGACUCAGGCAAGAGAUAGAGCUUUCCUGGUUCUCAGGAGUCAUUUAAGCCAGAUACAGAAGCAAGCAGGAGCCAGAGAAAGUCUAGAGAGCUCCUAGAUAAUCAAAAAGGCUAAAAAAAAGUUGUAUCCUGAGUUGGGUGCAGAUAGAACUGAAGUAGUUAGAUAGACCUCUGAAAUCAAAGGGUCUCUGAAUGGAAUGCUAUGUCAUGCCAUUGUUGACAUAGCGUUCCGUCUCCACACUGAUGUUUACAUGUGUAAGCCAUACAUUCUACUGCAUUCAAAGCAUUGACCUGAGAUUAUAUCAAUGACGUAGUAAGAAGGGGCACAGGGGAUAAAGGGGAAAGACUUUUCUGAUGUUAUAGCCCAACAAAAGAACUGCAAAUAAUACAAUCCUCAUGCAGCGCCUCAAAAGGACCUCAAGCAGUGACCGAAAAGUCAGGAAACAAAGGAUUCACGGGCCAGAUGCUUGAAGCUUGAGGACAAGGGUGUUGGCCAUAUAACACGGACCAAAUGCAAGCUGAAAUUGAAUCCCCUGUGUGAUGGUUUGGAGGUGGGGCCUUUGGAAGAUGAUUAGGUCGUGAGGGUGGAGCCCACAUGAAUGGGAUUAGUGCCCUUGUAAGGGGCUAAAGAGAUCAGAGAUUUCCCCUUCGACUCUGUGGGGACGCAGCGACAAGAUGGCCAUCUCUGAACCAGGAAGCAGGUCCUCACCAGACACUGAAUCAGCCAGCACCUUGAUCUUGG
rnacentral:lncRNA from 1 species